GAGUUUGAUUAUGGCUCAGGAUGAACGCUGGCGGCGUGCCUAACACAUGCAAGUCGAACGAGCGAGAGAUGAAACCUAGUGAUUCUCGAGCGAGUGGCGGACGGGUGAGUAACGCGUGGGUAACCUGCCUUACAGAGGGGGAUAACAGUCUGAAAAGACUGCUAAUACCGCAUAAGCACACAGUACCGCAUGGUACAGGGUGAAAAGAUUUAUCACUGUAAGAUGGACCCGCGUCUGAUUAGCCAGUUGGCAGGGUAACGGCCUACCAAAGCGACGAUCAGUAGCCGACCUGAGAGGGUGAUCGGCCACAUUGGGACUGAGACACGGCCCAAACUCCUACGGGAGGCAGCAGUGGGGGAUAUUGCACAAUGGAGGAAACUCUGAAUGCAGUCCGACGCCGCGUGAGUGAAGAAGUAUUUCGGUAUGUAAAGCUCUAUCAGCAGGGAAGAUAAUGACAGUACCUGACCAAGAAGCCCCGGCUAACUACGUGCCAGCCGCCGC
rnacentral:rRNA from 1 species